rnacentral:rRNA from 1 species
UACACUCCUACGGGAGGCAGCAGUGGGGAAUAUUGGACAAUGGGCGCAAGCCUGAUCCAGCCAUGCCGCGUGAGUGAUGAAGGCCCUAGGGUUGUAAAGCUCUUUCACCGGUGAAGAUAAUGACGGUAACCGGAGAAGAAGCCCCGGCUAACUUCGUGCCAGCAGCCGCGGUAAUACGAAGGGGGCUAGCGUUGUUCGGAUUUACUGGGCGUAAAGCGCACGUAGGCGGACUAUUAAGUCAGGGGUGAAAUCCCGGGGCUCAACCCCGGAACUGCCUUUGAUACUGGUAGUCUGGAGUUCGAGAGAGGUGAGUGGAAGUCCGAGUGUAGAGGUGAAAUUCGUAGAUAUUCGGAGGAACACCAGUGGCGAAGGCGGCUCACUGGCUCGAUACUGACGCUGAGGUGCGAAAGCGUGGGGAGCAAACAGGAUUAGAAACCCCAGUAGUCCCAUGAU